AUAGAUAUCACAGCGGCAGUGGCAGAAAUGGCGUGUCCAGACACAUAUCAGAUUAUCCCAACCUGAAAAUCCCCAGUGGAAUGUGCUGCCUAUCUGAUGGCCUGCCACACUGCCACCCAAACCAGAGAGGCGGACAGCCAGGCUGGGCUGCAGACAGAGGCAGGCAAAACUGGCCGGGCCACUUUGCUGCCUGCGUGUCCCGUGGCUGGCGAAAGCCUAGGUUCCUUGGUGCCCAGUGUCUGGUGCCUGGGCACUGUCUUGGUUUCUGUUUAUUCUCCCAGGGUUCAGGUGUAUCAUCUGCAGCUCACACUGGCCUGAAUGUUUCCCUGUCUACGCAGGAUCUCUUGAGGUCUCUACCCCAAACUCCCUCACAGGAUGGCAGGAGAGGAAGAGGCCCCUAUUCAGAGGUCAGAAACUCCAAGAUGGUACUAAGGGGCCUGGCUCUGUCUCUCCAUGGGAGCGGUCAGCUACGGAAGCUUCUGAACCCACAUGUGGGUGCUCUGUCUGGCUCUUGGUUUAGGGACUCCACAGCACUAGAGCUGGACUGUCCCAGGAAGUUUGCAAACGGAAUCUCCUGGGUGAUGGAGCUUGCUGUCUGGUUCUUUCAUCCGCAGCGGCAAAGCCUGACCAGGUGCCAUCUCCUUGGGUUUUCCAAGGAUAAAACGAGACGCGUUGAUUGUCUAGCAGAACCUCAGCAGGUGGCAUCUGACUGACCAGCCGAAGAAGAUGUAUAUGACACAUUCCAAGACAGAGCAGAGUGACUUGGAACAGAGGCCCUGAACCCAACCAGUCACUGUGUGCAUCUGGCUGCCAAUUGGCUGUGGAAGCCAUCACCGGACUCUGGCCUGACCGCCAGGCCUGUGUCUCCCUGAGUCUUUCAGCGCCACAUGUGCAGAAGUGACUGACAACUCCCCACCCCCACCCCACCUCCCCACCCCGGAAGCCGAGGGAGCAUGCGCAGAAGUGUCUGACUCGAAGCCGAGGGUGCAGUGCCGGUGUGGAACACCCACAGGUUUACUUAACGUGUCAUUUUGUCCAAAGGCAAAUGGUUCAUUAAUCCUCACUUUGUCCCUGCCUGUCAAAACCAGCCCGACAGAUUCCAUGGUGCGGCUCACGCACACAGAGCAGGCCAGCUCCUGCGGCUUCAUCUUCUCUGAGCCUCUCUGUAACUGUUGUUAAACUUGGUCACAGCCACGCUGGACUUUACAGAUCCCUAACUUCAAACAAACAAGAAAACAACACCUCUAACCCUCUGUGAUAAGCAAGCAGCUUUAUCAGGCUCGACUCCCACCUGGCAUGCGGACUGGCGACUCCCUGUCCCCAUCUCCGUGUCUCCUGUCCUGGGAAAAGCGAAUCUUGGCUCACCAGCCCAGAGUCUCUGCUCAUGUCUUCAUCCAAGACAACAGCAAACCCCACACACCACUGCUUCACUCUCUUGGGGACCCACUAACUCUUCGUGCCCCUCCAGCACCCUCGACAACUUGGACAACACUACUGUGCCUCAGACUUAUCCAUGGACUAUCUGUACUUUUCCUCAAGACCGGGGCUUCCUGGAGGAGUGGACAUCAGACAACUGCAUAGAUAACAUGUGGAAGACAACCUGGUACAUAACAGCAGCUCAACAAACAGCCAUGGACUGAGUGUACAUCACGGACAGUGUUGUUGAAUUAUUUAUCUACCUUAAUUUCUUUCCUUUGCGUAUUAGCUUGUAACAUCUGUCAGCAAGUUCCCUCACCUCAUCAUUUAUUAUUAUGUCCAAAAUACCUCGGCUAGUCUGGGAUCCCACCCC